rnacentral:ribozyme from 1 species
CGCAGAGUGACGGCCCUUCGGGGCCGGUAAUGCGGCGAGCCGGUCACAAGCCCGG